rnacentral:lncRNA from 1 species
ACACACGCACAUGCUUGCACGCACACGCUUGCACGCACACACUUGCUUUCACAAUCCGCUUGCACACACACUCUUGCACACACACUCUUGCACACGCACAUGAACACACACUUGCACACACACAUGCAUGUACACAGCCUUGCACACACACACACAUGCACACAGACACCCGCUUGCACACACAUACACACACACUGCUGCACACGGUUUCCCCCAUUCUGUCUCCUGACUCUGCCCCUGCCAGCCUGGAUGGCGGACACACCCUUUGCCUCCUCCAAGGGUCAAAAUCCUACCUGGCUUUCUAAGAUCCUCUGCUCCUCCAAGGAGCCUGUCCCCAUCCCCCAACCCUGUGUGCACUUGUGCUUUGUACCUCUCCAUGUGCCAUCACAGCCAACCUGGCCUUGUAUCCCUAACCAUUCAUUUAUUCAUUCACUUGUUCAACAAAUAUCAGCUGAGCCCCUACACGGUGUCAGGCACCAGGCCAGACGCUCAUGAUGCAUGGGGCAGGGUUACCAGGGUGCCUGCCUUCCUGGAACCUUAAGUCCAGUGGGGGAGGCACUGCAGGGAAACCUCCUUGAAAACAAGACCUCGGUGGUCUGGACUUUGGGGGGGUCUCUUCCCCCCGCCAACCUUUCAUGGAGGCUGAAACAUAACAAAUGCCAAACAGCCCCAGCCAGAGAGACGGGCUGGCUUCCUGCUCCUCUGUCUCCCAGUUCUUUUCUCCCCUGGACAGGAACCCCAGGUGGAUCAGCAUCCCUGGACCCACGGUGAGCGACCCCGGCGGCCCACCCACACACACCUGAGGGCAGGGCGAGGCGGGCCCGGGCUGCAGCGCUCCAGCCACCAGGCGACUCAGCAGCAGCUGGUGCAUCUGCGCGUUCUGCAGCAUCAUCAAUUCCAGCAGGUCUAGGAAGCGGGGUUCAUCAAGCCCACGCCGGGCCUCCGAGUCCCCCUCCCCCUGACACCCCUGUCCCAGGGGGCGAAGAAUGGGUUGGCGGGUUGUGCUGUGGGGACUCCCAGAGGAUGUGCGGGGCAGAAGGGGGUGAGUGGUGGUGAUGGUAGGGAUGGAGUGGGGGGACCCGGGAGUCUCACCUUCCUUCACGCGGCCUGGCUGCGGGGGCGCAGGUGGGAUGGUCCACGAGAGGGGCUGCAGGACGGUGACCCAGGGCUGGGGGUGUGCGCGGAGUCAGCCAGGUAGGGUGGGGGGAAUGGAUGGGGACACGUCGCGAGCCCCAACCCCUCUCGGCCAGUGGCCUCCCUAACCCCGCAGGGGCCAGGUUCUCUCCUCCCCGCCCCGCGGCCUCCCUGCUCCCUGCCACGCCUCUUCCUCUGGGUUUGGGGCUGUCUCUCCUCGCCCCCCACCCGCCCCCACCCCUCCAGGAUCUGGCCCCUCCAGGGACAGCUCCCCACUCUGCCGUCUCCCAAGCUAAGGCAGGAUCUGCUCCCGGGCUCAGCCCUCACCGUCGGGACUGCGCUCUGCGGUGGGGAGCGACCCCAGCUCCCGCCCGCCCCAGAGGCCAUGGCUGGCGCCGGUUGCCUUGGCGACGCCGAGGACGCCAAGAGAGAGGGGUUUCCUGCCAGGAAAGAGUGGUUUCUGGAGCAGACCAAGGAAGGAAACACUGCCCGAAUUCACGGAAGAGGCUGAGGACUCUGGCUGGAAACACGUGGCCGGCUUCUCGGCUCUCUCCUUGCGGCUAUUUACCCCCUGUUCCCUGGCCAAGGUAGAAAGAGAACCAGCCAUUUUGCUCAUCGUCAACAAACCUUGACCAAGGAAGCGUCUGCGUGUGCAAUGUGCCAUCUGAACCCUGGAGGCAUAAGCAGUAUGGUCACUGGUCCCAGCAUUGUUGGGAAGUGAAAAUGUAUCCAUGGAAAGAGAGCAGAAAGAUAAGACUACGCCCCGGGGAUAAUGAAAAAGAGAGGACUUGACUACUGAGGGAUGGAAUUCCAAGGAAGGCAGUCCUUGAUGGGGCCGAGCAGCAUAGGAAGACGGGUGCUAUCAGGCUGGGGACAGAGCCCAAGCCAAGACCCAGGUGUAUGAAUGGACAGGACCUGAGAUGACCCAGUGGGUCAAACUGUCUGACUGUGGAAGGGGAGCUGGGCAGAGAGCAGAGGUCCAGGGACAGGUCAGACUUGAAUGCCGAGGUUUGGAAUUUAGGCUUGGCCCUGUGGGUAAUGGAGAGCUAUCAGUGGGUUUCAAGCAAGACGGAGAUACCAAGUGCUGUGGCCAGCCAUGUUUCAGGAAGAUUGUUCUUGUCCACCUUUGUUUAUGUCAACCACAUUUAGAAGUAAUAAAUGUCUGAUAGGGGGUCAGGUGCGGUGGCUUGUGCCUAUAGUCCCAGCUACUCAGGAGGCUGAGGCAGGAGGAUCGCUCGAGCCCAGGGAUUCAAGGAUGCUGUGAGCUACGAUCACGUCACUGCACUCCAGCCUGGGAAACAGGGUGAGACCCAGUUUCUAAAACAAACAAACAAACAAAUGUCUGAUGGGGAUGCAUCCUCCCAAUAGAAUACUAUUCAACCAUGGAUAAUGUGGGAAUAGAAUACCUCUGUUGAUGUGGAAAGCUGUCCAAGAGAGUUGAGUCAAAAAUAUCAGUAAGCAUAGUAAGAUCUUAUUUUUGUUCUAAAAAUCAUAUGCAUAAGUCCAGGCACGGUGGCUCACGCCUGUAAUCCCAGCAGUUUGGGGGGCCAAGGCAGGCAGAUCACUUGAGGUCAGGAGUUCGAGACCAGCUGGCCAACAUGGUGAAACCCUGUCUCUACUAAAAAUACAAAAAUUAGCCGGGCGUGGUGGCGGGUGCCUGCAAUCCCAGACACUCAGGAGGCUGAGGCAGGAGAAUCGCUUGAAGGUGGAGGUGGAGGUUGCAGUGAGCCGAGAUCAUGCCACUGCACUGCAGCCUGGGCGACAGAGACUCCAUCU